rnacentral:rRNA from 1 species
UACCCGCAGCACAAGUGGUGGUCAUUAUUAUUGGGCCUAAAGCGUCCGUAGCUGGCUUGUUAGAUGCCUGGGUAAAUCGAUGCGCUCAACGUAUCGAACUCCGGGUAGACCGGCAAGCUUGGGACCGGGAGAGGCGUGAGCUACUCGGGGGGUAGGGGUAAAAUCCUGUAAUCCUCCGGGGAGGACCAGCGGCGAAGGCGUCACGCUAGAACGGCUCCGACAGUGAGGGACGAAGCCCUGGGGCGCAAACCGG